rnacentral:rRNA from 1 species
UACGGAAGGCAGCAGUGGGGAAUAUUGCACAAUGGGCGAAAGCCUGAUGCAGCUAUGCCGCGUGUAUGAAGAAGGCCUUAGGGUUGUAAAGUACUUUCAUCGGGGAGGAAAAAACAAAACUAAUAAUUUUAUUUCUUGACGUUACCCGAAAAAGAAGCACCGGCUAACUCCGUGCCAGCAGCCGCGGUAAUACGGAGGGUGCUAGCGUUAAUCAGAAUUACUGGGCGUAAAGAGCACGUAGGUGGUUUUUUUAAGUCAGAUGUGAAAUCCCUGGGCUUAACCUGGAACUGCAUUUUGAAACUGAAAUACUAGAGUAUCGUAGAGGGAGGUAGAAUUCUAGGUGUAGCGGUGAAAUGCGUAGAUAUCUGGAGGAAUACCUGUGGCGAAAGCGGCCUCCUAAACGAAUACUGACACUGAGGUGCGAAAGCGUUGGGGAGCGAAACAGGGAUUUAGAUACC